rnacentral:rRNA from 1 species
AUUGAACGCUGGCGGCAUGCCUUACACAUGCAAGUCGAACGGUAACAGGUCUUCGGAUGCUGACGAGUGGCGAACGGGUGAGUAAUACAUCGGAACGUGCCUAGUAGUGGGGGAUAACUACUCGAAAGAGUGGCUAAUACCGCAUGAGAUCUACGGAUGAAAGCAGGGGAUCGCAAGACCUUGUGCUACUAGAGCGGCCGAUGGCAGAUUCGGUAGUUGGUGGGAUAAAAGCUUACCAAGCCGACGAUCUGUAGCUGGUCUGAGAGGACGUUUAGCCCCACUGGGACUGAGACACGGCCCAGACUACUACGGGAGGCAGCAGUGGGGAAUUUUGGACAAUGGGCGAAAGCCUGAUCCAGCAAUGCCGCGUGCAGGAUGAAUGCCUUCGGGUUGUAAACUGCUUUUGUACGGAACGAAAAGCCCCGGGUUAAUACCCUGGGGUCAUGACGGUACCGUAAGAAUAAGCACCGGCUAACUACGUGCCAGCCGCCGCGGUAA